rnacentral:rRNA from 1 species
GACGAACGCUGGCGGCGUGCCUAACACAUGCAAGUGGAGCGACGAACCGGGCUUCGGCCCGGGCAAAGCCGCGAACGGGUGAGUAACACGUGGGUAACCUGCCCUGAUGAUCGGGACAACCCGAGGAAACUCGGGCUAAUACCGAAUGUGCCCUCCGGCCAUAAGGCCACUGGGGAAAGAAGCUUCGGCCUCCGCAUCGGGAUGGGCCCGCGGCCCAUUAGCUUGUUGGUGAGGUAACGGCUCACCAAGGCAAUGAUGGGUAGCUGGUCUGAGAGGACGAUCAGCCACACUGGGACUGAGACACGG